rnacentral:rRNA from 1 species
GAGAUUUCCGAAUGGGGGAACCCAACAUCUUUAAUAGGAUGUUACGAUUGUGUGAAUACAUAGCACAUUCGAGGUAGACGCAGAGAACUGAAACAUCUAAGUACCUGCAGGAAGAGAAAGAAAAUUCGAUUCCCUGAGUAGCGGCGAGCGAAACGGGAAAAGCCCAAACCAGCAAGCUUGCUUGUUGGGGUUGUAGGACUCCAAUAUGGUAGUUCUUUCAGAUAGUCGAAUGACUUGGAAAAGUCAGUCAAAGAGGGUAAAAACCCCGUAGACGAAAUGUGGAAGACACCUAGGAGGAUCCUGAGUACGGCGGAACACGAGAAAUUCCGUCGGAAUCCGGGAGGACCAUCUCCCAAGGCUAAAUACUCCCUAGUGACCGAUAGUGAACCAGUACCGUGAGGGAAAGGUGAAAAGCACCCCGGAAGGGGAGUGAAAUAGAACCUGAAACCGUGUGCCUACAACAAGUCAAAGCCCGUUAAUGGGUGAUGGCGUGCCUUUUGUAGAAUGAACCGGCGAGUUACGAUUGCAUGCGAGGUUAAGUUGAAGAGACGGAGCCGCAGCGAAAGCGAGUCUGAAUAGGGCGUUUGAGUAUGUAGUCGUAGACCCGAAACCAUGUGAUCUACCCAUGUCCAGGUUGAAGGUGCGGUAAAACGCACUGGAGGACCGAACCCACGUACGUUGAAAAGUGCGGGGAUGAGGUGUGGGUAGCGGAGAAAUUCCAAACGAACUUGGAGAUAGCUGGUUCUCUCCGAAAUAGCUUUAGGGCUAGCCUCGGAAUUGAGAAUGAUGGAGGUA